rnacentral:rRNA from 1 species
CCUACGGGAGGCAGCAGUCGGGGAUUUUGGGCAAUGGGCGAAAGCCUGACCCAGCAACGCCGCGUGAAGGAUGAAAUUUUUCGGAAUGUAAACUUCGCAAGAACGGGAAGAAUAAGUAGAAGAUAAUACCUUCUAUGAUGACGGUACCGUUUGUAAGCUCCGGCUAACUCCGUGCCAGCAGCCGCGGUAAUACGGGGGGAGCAAGCGUUGUUCGGAUUUACUGGGCGUAAAGGGCGCGUAGGCGGUCGUGACAAGUCACUUGUGAAAUCUCCGGGCUUAACUCGGAACGGUCAAGUGAUACUGUCGGACUAGAGUACAGAAGGGGCAACUGGAAUUCUCGGUGUAGCGGUGAAAUGCGUAGAUAUCGAGAGGAACACCUGCGGCGAAGGCGGGUUGCUGGGCUGAUACUGACGCUGAGGCGCGAAAGCCAGGGGAGCGAACGGGAUUAGAUACCCCGGUAGUCCUGGCCUUAAACGAUGAAUGCUUGGUGUCUCGGGUUAUAAAGUCCCGGGGUGCCGUCGCUAACGCUUUUAGCAUUCCGCCUGGGGAGUACGAUCGCAAGACUGAAACUCAAAGGAAUUGACGG